rnacentral:rRNA from 1 species
CCUACGGGAGGCAGCAGUAGGGAAUAUUGCUCAAUGGGGGAAACCCUGAAGCAGCAACGCCGCGUGGAGGAUGAAGGAUUUCGGAUUGUAAACCCCUUUUGGUAGAGAAGAGAAUGACGGGAUCUAACGAAUAAGCACCGGCCAACUCCGUGCCAGCAGCCGCGGUAAUACGGAGGGUGGAAGCGUUACUCGGAAUCACUGGGCGUAAAGAGGGCGUAGGCGGGAUAGCAAGUCUGAAGUGAAAGCCUAGGGCUUAACCAUAGAACUGCAUUUGAAAAUGUUAUUCUAGAGUAUGGGAGAGGUAAGUGGAAUUCUUGGUGUAGGGGUGAAAUCCGUAGAGAUCAAGAGGAAUACUCAUUGCGAAGGCGACCUGCUAGAACAUAACUGACGCUGAUGCGCGAAAGCGUGGGGAGCAAACAGGAUUAGAUACCCCAGUAGUC